CACGCGCGCGCCCUCCCGCACGGCUUCCCGGCUGCUUCCCGUCCCUUGGUCCGGGCGGGCGGUUUUCCCGCCGCCCUCUCGACACUUUGCACCGAGGCGUCGGAUCUGCUGGCUCAGAGGGCAGGGGUUUCCUACGUCCCCCUUCCCCACCAGCGCCUAGAGACGAGGCGGAACUCAAAGGGCUGCUCCCUCACCCCCUUCCUGGCCAAGACGUUUCAUCCGCAAUUGGCUCAAUCCUUCGAUCUCCGACCCGCUGCAAACGAACGAAAGUCUGUGGCCUGGAUCGGCCCACCACUGCUCCCGAGGGAGGGGGGAGGAAAGAGAAGUCACCUCUUGUUUUAGGGGGUCUGUGUCUACGGUCCCUGAUGCGGAGCUCGGGAGAACAACUUCGAGUUAGUGUUUACGGAACUUCUCACAGCCUAGAUUCUUUUUUUGAAGGGAGAGAUUCAAAAUCUAUAGGCUGUUCCCUGCUCGCCUCCCCCAUCGGGCACAUGGACGGGUCCCACCUGCAGGUGCGCAUGCGCUGAGGCGUAUUCUCGCGCUGGGUUACGGAGACGACAGGCCGCCUCCUGGCCCCUCCUCCCCUCGGUUCUGUCUGCUGAACCAGUAAGAAAAAAAGAAGAAGAAGAAGAAGAAGAAGAAGAAGAAGAAGAAGAAGAAGAAGAAGAAGGAAAACACAUUUUUGUCCACGGUGACUUUGAGAUGGAAGGUGUUCCUUUCAACUGUAUCAAAACCAGCACAAUCCCUGUUUGAAGAUGCUAGGACUAAAAGGGCCCAGAAAGUUGAGUCCAGAGGUCACAUUCACUGAAGGGACGAUUUCAUACUUUGGAUAGUCUCCUAUUAAGUCUUUGACUUAAAACUGGCUGAAAUUUGGUUUUAUCCGGUGAUCUAAGGGAUCGCAAAGAGGACAGCCUUCAUAGAGGAUGCGCCAUUCGAGCUCUACCACACAGGAGGCACGGUGGUGGCCUCACCUCUACACAACAGUGUUCCCACCUCCUGAAAAGCCUUCCUCUUCCAUCGUAGAAUGUUUACAUUUUCUCUUUAUUGUGAAGACUUUCAUCAUCUUUUCAAUCAGAACAAAUGAAGAAAUUGUGACACACAGCGAUUAAGUAAUGCAUCUAAGGGCACACCAACUACCAGUUUUGAAGUAAGGGUUCUAAGCCUCCUGGCUCCUGACUCAGUGUCACCUAAGCAUUCUCCAAUGAUCCAAACGAAUUCAACGUCUGUGUCUUUGGCUAAGGAUAUAGAGAAAUCGACAUGAUCUCUCAAUUGGCGUUGGUGCUCUGUGAGGAUUGGACUGGUUGCCCAUUGAGCCCUGGGAUCCACUCGUUUCUGCUUCUCCUGUGCUGGGAUUGCAGCCCACUUCUCCACCAAGGUGCUCAGUUUUAGGAGUGGAGAACAGGGGCCACGGAAAAUACAUUGCUCCCCAGCUCCCAGCUCUCUUUACUUUCUCCCAGGAAGCAGCAUGUGCCAUCCUUCUGUCAGAAAACACCAAAGAGAUGAAGAAAUGAGAAAUCCAGAAACCAAAGACCUUGCUCUUUUGUCAAACAGACUUGGUAGAGCAGAGUUGCAAAAUCAGACCUUUGGGGGCUUGCGUGUUUCUCCUCUUACUCCCUGGUGUAGGUAACUGAGGCUCUGGCUUCCGCUGGGAGUGGGGGUGGGGGUGGGACAGUGACCCUUGCUGAUAUUUUGAAGUUCUAGAUCCUUGAAUUCAUCUCAUGAAUGGCUUUGGACUUACAGACACCCCCCCCCCCCCAGUAUAUAGUCCUUGUACCAUGUUUCUUUCCUUAGUAGGUCUGCUCAAGCUCUCUUAGACUGGUAUGGAGUGAGCGAAUCUUCUCUGGAAACAGUAUUAGUUGCUUUGCAUCACUGCAGUUACCAUGCUGGUAGAAACAACUUAAGAGAGGAGGAGCUAGCUUUGACUCACAGUUUCUGAGGCUUUUCAGACUAGCAUAGCAGGGACAGCAUGAAAGAAUGGCUCCCUCUGUGGCAGCGGGAGCUCACAGGACAUUGGGCUGGGGGACAGAGAGAAUGCUGAUGCUUCUGAAAUUCGGCCCUUAGUAACUUCGGCCUGCCAGGCCCCAAUGGCAUUCUCAGCUGAGGAACAAACAUUGAAGUCAUGAACCUGUAGGGACAUUUCAGAUUCAAAGCACAAUAAAAAAAAACCAACUAGAUAAGUUUUAAUGUGUGAGAGACAGAGAGACAAAAAAAUUGAGGAAUCACAUCCUGUGUAGGUAUAGAAAAAAAAAUUCUUUUUUGAGACAAGGUCUCACUAGGUAGACCAGGCUAGCCUUGAACUCAGAGAUCCACCUGCCUUUACCUCUCAGAUUCUGGUAAAGAUGUUUUUAAAGAAAACUUGAAAUUCUUAUUGUAAUUACAAACCAUUUCCUAAGGUUUGUUUUAUACAUUCAGAGAUUUGCAUCAUAGGAAAGAGUUAUUUAAACU
rnacentral:lncRNA from 1 species